CCGCCUGCUGCGGGCAGAUGAAAUGAAUAUGCGAAUCAAUGCCGCCCGCGGUAACGAUCUUGCCUUCCGCCGCAAUGAUUUCCGUCGCCGCGCCGAUGGGGAUAUCCACGCCGGGCUGAAUGUCCGGGUUGCCCGCUUUGCCGAUGGCCCGUAUGCGGCCGUCUUUGACGCCGAUAUCCGCUUUUACGAUGCCCCAAUGGUCGAUAAUCAGCGCGUUGGUCAGCACCAGAUCCAUCGCUUCGUCCGCCAGCAUCUGGCCUUGUCCCAUGCCGUCGCGG
rfam:Brenneria goodwinii strain OBR1 genome assembly, contig: Contig